rnacentral:rRNA from 1 species
GACGAACGCUGGCGGCGUGCCUAAUACAUGCAAGUCGAACGCAGUGGGGACGGGUGAGUAACACGUGGGUAACCUCCCAUCAGAGGGGAUAACACUUGGAAACAGGUGCUAAACCGAUACUGAUGGAUGGACCCGCUGUGCAUUAGCUAGUUGUGGAGGUAACGGCUCACCAAGGCCACGAUGCAUAGCCGACCUGAGAGGGUGAGCGGCAAAACGGGGACUGAGACACGGCCCAGACUCCUACGGGAGGCAGCAGUUGGGAAUCUGCGGCUAUGGACGAAGGUCUGAACGAGGGACGGCGCGUGAGGGAAGAAGGUUUUCGGUUCUUAAAACACUGUUGAUAGAGAGGGGGUAUCUAAUCAGAAAGCCCCGGCUAACUACGUGCCAGCAGCCGCGGUAAUAC